rnacentral:rRNA from 1 species
CUGAUCCAGCCAUGCCGCGUGCAGGAAGAAUGCCCUAUGGGUAGUAAACUGCUUUUAUACGGGAAGAAAAAGGGCUACGUGUAGCCCACUGACGGUACCGUAAGAAUAAGGACCGGCUAACUCCGUGCCAGCAGCCGCGGUAAUACGGAGGGUCCGAGCGUUAUCCGGAAUUAUUGGGUUUAAAGGGUCCGUAGGCGGGCAGCUAAGUCAGAGGUGAAAGUUUGCAGCUCAACUGUAAAAUUGCCUUUGAUACUGGUUGUCUUGAGUUAUGGUGAAGUUGCCGGAAUAUGUAGUGUAGCGGUGAAAUGCAUAGAUAUUACAUAGAACACCGAUUGCGAAGGCAGGUGACUAACCAUAUACUGACGCUGAUGGACGAAAGCGUGGGGAGCGAACAGGAUUAGAUACCCUGGUAGUCCACGCCGUAAACGAUGGAUACUAGCUGUCCGGGUCCUUGAGAUCUGGGCGGCCAAGCGAAAGUGAUAAGUAUCCCACCUGGGGAGUACGUUCGCAAGAAUGAAACUCA